UUUGGCAGCGAAUGAAUCCUAUCGGGGGAAGGUGUGUUGUAAAGGAUGAUCCGCCUAUUAAUUUACUCUUAUUAUGUUGGUGUAUAUCUAGUUUAAUAUUAUUGUCUAGUGACUUAAUUUGUGUAGAAUUUAGUUAAGCUAAGUCUAUGUGCUGCAUAUAGGAGUUUUCAUGCGUUACAUUUAUAAAGAGUUAGUUGUAAAGACUAAUUUAUUUAGGACUCGAAAGUAAUGUACAAUGAGUUUGUGUAU
rnacentral:rRNA from 1 species